rnacentral:rRNA from 1 species
GAUGAACGCUGGCGGCGUGCCUAAUACAUGCAAGUCGAGCGAACGGACGAGAAGCUUGCUUUUCUGAUGUUAGCGGCGGACGGGUGAGUAACACGUGGAUAACCUACCUAUAAGACUGGGAUAACUUCGGGAAACCGGAGCUAAUACCGGAUAAUAUUUUGAACCGCAUGGUUCAAAAGUGAAAGACGGUCUUGUUGUCACUUAUAGAUGGAUCCGCGCUGCAUUAGCUAGUUGGUAAGGUAACGGCUUACCAAGGCAACGAUGCAUAGCCGACCUGAGAGGGUGAUCGGCCACACUGGAACUGAGACACGGUCCAGACCCCUACGGGAGGCAGCAGUAGGGAAUCUUCCGCAAUGGGCGAAAGCCUGACGGAGCAACGCCGCGUGAGUGAUGAAGGUCUUCGGAUCGUAAAACUCUGUUAUUAGGGAAGAACAUAUGUGUAAGUAACUGUGCACAUCUUGACGGUACCUAAUCAGAAAGCCACGGCUAACUACGUG